GAUGAACGCUAGCUACAGGCUUAACACAUGCAAGUCGAGGGGAAACGACAUCGAAAGCUUGCUUUUGAUGGGCGUCGACCGGCGCACGGGUGAGUAACGCGUAUCCAACCUGCCCACCACUUGGGGAUAACCUUGCGAAAGUAAGACUAAUACCCGAUGAUAUCCCUAGAAGACAUCUGAAAGGGAUUAAAGAUUUAUCGGUGAUGGAUGGGGAUGCGUCUGAUUAGCUUGUUGGCGGGGUAACGGCCCACCAAGGCAACGAUCAGUAGGGGUUCUGAGAGGAAGGUCCCCCCACAUUGGAACUGAGACACGGUCCAAACUCCUACGGGAGGCAGCAGUGAGGAAUAUUGGUCAAUGGGCGAGAGCCUGAACCAGCCAAGUAGCGUGCAGGACGACGGCCCUA
rnacentral:rRNA from 1 species